rnacentral:rRNA from 1 species
CACGUGGAUAACCUAACCUGAAGUGGGGGAUAAUCUCGGAAAACUGAGGAUAAUACCCCAUAGGUCUUCGAUACUGGAAUGUUCCUAGGCUGAAAGCCAAGGCGCUUCAGGAUGGGUCUGCGGCCUAUCAGGUUGUAGUGAGUGUAAAGGACUCACUAGCCGACGACGGGUACGGGCCGUGGGAGUGGUAGCCCGGAGAUGGACUCUGAGACACGAGUCCAGGCCCUACGGGGCGCAGCAGGCGCGAAAACUUCGCAAUGCGCGGAAGCGCGACGAGGGGAUUCCAAGUGCAUGCACUCUGUGUAUGCUGUUUACUAGUCUAAAACGCUAGUAGAGCAAGGGCUGGGUAAGACUGGUGCCAGCCGCCGCGGUAAUACCAGCGGCCCUAGUGGUGAUCGUUAUUAUUGGGCCUAAAGCGUCCGUAGCCGGCCCGGUAAAUCUCUGGGUAAAUCGUUGGGCUUAACUCAACGAAUUCUGGGGAGACUGCCGGGCUUGGGACC